CGAUAUUCAUUUCAGAUACGUAUAUAGUUAUAUCAUUAAUAACAUGAAAAAUUUAAUGAAAAAGAAAGUUACUGUAAUAAUAAUAGUUUUGGAUUAUCCUGAUUGCAGCGUCUAAAGAGCAGGACACAGUGCAACGUUAUGAUAUACCAAUCGAUGGCAAAGUUGCAAAUAAAAAUCGAGGAUUCUUGUAAUAAAACAAUGGCCAUCCUAGAGUGUAUCGGGACUCUCCCCCAAUCUAACGAAUCAUGUGAUUCGACAUCGACGAUACUUAAAGGUAUUUAUGGUACACGCCUGAUAUUGGCAAUCCUCGAUUAUCUGAUCCCUGAAAUUCCUGUUGGAAGAAACUGGACCACCUAUGGCUUACAGAAAUGUAUAAGAACAAUAUUGGAGAAAGAUAUACGUUUCGGCAACACCCAGAGGGUGGCAGAAGAGGCAGGAAAUGAGAAAUGAAAGAUGUGUUAUAUAAACUGAAAUUAAUAUUAAAAUAAUGCAAGGUUAGUUACACUACCAUCUAACAGUCAGGAGAUGAACUAAUGGAAGUUGAAAGGAAGCUAUACCUUCGGAUGAUAACAUCGCAUCCUGCCUUAU